UUCGCAAUGCCCGAAAGGGUGACGAAGCGACGCCGCGUGCGGGAAGAAGGCCUUCGGGUUGUAAACCGCUGUCGGGAGUUAAGAAAUGCAAGGAUAUUAAUAGUAUCUUUGCUUGACUAAGGCUCCGGAGGAAGCCACGGCUAACUCUGUGCCAGCAGCCGCGGUCAUACAGAGGCGGCAAGCGUUGUUCGGAAUUAUUGGGCGUAAAGAGCACGUAGGCGGCUCUGUAAGUCAGCUGUGAAAGCCUUCCGCUCAACGGGAGAACAGCAUCCGAUACUGCAUAGCUUGAGUGCGGGAGGGGAGAGUGGAACUUCUGGUGGAGCGGUGAAAUGCGUAGAUAUCAGAAGGAACGCCGGCGGCGAAAGCGGCUCUCUGGCCCGUAACUGACGCUGAGUGUGCGAAAGCUAGGGGAGCAAACGGGAUUAGAUACCCCGGUAGUCCUAGCCGUAAACGAUGGGCACUAAGUAGAGGGGUUUU
rnacentral:rRNA from 1 species